rnacentral:rRNA from 1 species
UCAGGUGGGGAGUUAUAGUUUGUUUGAUGGUAUCUGCUACUCGAAUAAGCAUAGUAAUUCUAGAGCUAAUACAUACAACAAACCCCAAAUUCUUGAAGGGAUGCAUUUAUUAGAUAAAAGGUUGAUGUGGGCUCUGCGUGUUUCCGCGAUGAUUCAUGAUAACUCGACGGAUCGCACGGCCCUCGUGCCGGUGACGCAUCAUUCAAAUUUUUUCCCUAUCAAUUUUCGAUGGUAGGAUACUGGCCUACCAUGGUGGUGACUGGUGACGGAUAAUUAAGGUUCGAUUCCGGA